GAUGAACGCUGGCGGCGUGCCUAAUACAUGCAAGUCGAGCGAACCACUUCGGUGGUGAGCGGCGAACGGGUGAGUAACACGUAGGUGAUCUGCCCAUCAGACGGGGACAACGAUUGGAAACGAUCGCUAAUACCGGAUAGGACGAAAGUUUAAAGGUGCUUCUGGCACCGCUGCUGGAUGAGCCUGCGGCGCAUUAGCUAGUUGGUAGGGUAAAGGCCUACCAAGGCGACGAUGCGUAGCCGACCUGAGAGGGUGAACGGCCACACUGGGACUGAGACACGGCCCAGUCUCCUACGGGAGGCAGCAGUAGGGAAUCUUCGGCAAUGGGCGAAAGCCUGACCGAGCAACGCCGCGUGAAUGAUGAAGGCCUUCGGGUUGUAAAAUUCUGUUAUAAGGGAAGAACGACUUUAGUAGGAAAUGGCUAGAGUGUGACGGUACCUUAUGAGAAAGCCACGGCUAACUACGUGCCAGCAGCCGCCGUAA
rnacentral:rRNA from 1 species